AGUGAACGCUGGCGGUAGGCCUAACACAUGCAAGUCGAACGGCAGCACAGUAAGAGCUUGCUCUUACGGGUGGCGAGUGGCGGACGGGUGAGGAAUACAUCGGAAUCUACUUUUUCGUGGGGGAUAACGUAGGGAAACUUACGCUAAUACCGCAUACGACCUACGGGUGAAAGCAGGGGAUCUUCGGACCUUGCGCGAUUGAAUGAGCCGAUGUCGGAUUAGCUAGUUGGCGGGGUAAAGGCCCACCAAGGCGACGAUCCGUAGCUGGUCUGAGAGGAUGAUCAGCCACACUGGAACUGAGACACGGUACAGACUCCUACGGGAGGCAGCAGUGGGGAAUAUUGGACAAUGGGCGCAAGCCUGAUCCAGCCAUACCGCGUGGGUGAAGAAGGCCUUCGGGUUGUAAAGGCCUGUUGUUGGGAAAGAAAAGCAGCAGGUUAAUACCCCGCUGUUCUGACGGUACCCAAAGAAUAAGCACCGGCUAACUUCGUG
rnacentral:rRNA from 1 species